rnacentral:tRNA from 1 species
CAGAAGAUAGUUUAUAAAAAAAUUUUAAUUUUGGAGAUUAAAGAAAAAUAAAUUUAUUUUUUUCUGA